rnacentral:rRNA from 1 species
AACGUAGGGGGCAAGCGUUGUCCGGAUUUAUUGGGCGUAAAGAGCGUGUAGGCGGUUUGGUAGGUCCGCUGUGAAAACUCGAGGCUCAACCUCGAGACGCCGGUGGAAACCAUCAGACUAGAGUCCGGAAGAGGAGAGUGGAAUUCCUGGUGUAGCGGUGAAAUGCGCAGAUAUCAGGAGGAACACCAAUUGCGAAGGCAGCUCGCUGGGACGUUACUGACGCUGAGACGCGAAAGCGUGGGGAGCAAACAGG